AGUCGAGGGGCAGCAUAUCCAGCAAUGGGUGAUGGCGACCGGCGGAAGGGUGCGUAACGCGUGAGCAACAUACCCUAUACAGGGGGAUAAGCCAGGGAAACUUGGUCUAAUAUCCCAUAGGAAAUAGAUAAGGCAUCUUAUUUAUUUUAAAGCUUCGGUGGUAUAGGAUUGGCUCGCGUGACAUUAGCUAGAUGGAGGGGUAACGGCCCACCAUGGCAAUGAUGUCUAGGGGUUCUGAGAGGAAGAUCCCCCACACUGGGACUGAGACACGGCCCAGACUCCUACGGGAGGCAGCAGUGAGGAAUAUUGGACAGUGGAUGGAAAUCUGAUCCAGCCAUGCCGCGUGCAGGAAGACGGCCCUAUGGGUUGUAAACUGCUUUUAUACGGGAGCAAUAAGGUCUAUGCAUAGAUUGAUGAGAGUACCGUAUGAAUAAGCAUCGGCUAACUCCGUGCCAGCAGCCGCGGUAAUACGGAGGAUGCGAGCGUUAUCCGGAUUUAUUGGGUUUAAAGGGUGCGUAGGCGGCUUUGUAAGUCAGCGGUG
rnacentral:rRNA from 1 species